UAAUAGGGCACGGCGUAGAGGGGCCCAGACCGCAUUCCAUUUCCAUCCUUAGCGAUGAUGUUCCGUCACCGUCCGGUACCUUAAUGGAGCUCUUCUCUCACAAAUUAAAACGUUGCCUUCCGAGCACCGGCUAGUUCUGCAUGCCACCGGACCUCCCCUCUCCUUGCGGGUUGGAGUCCGCCAAGGUCUUAAAUUGUUGUUUAUUGCUUGGCACCAUGCCAGAUGGAUUAUUUCAGCUGCUUUGGGUGGGUACUUGCAUUUCUGCCAUCAUCUCCCGAAACUUCACCUGUACUACCCAAUAUUCUUCCCAUAGCCGUAAAAUAAGAGUCUUACGCUCCAAUCAAACCCCAUAUCUCAUUUCAAAUUAUCAGAAAGAAUGACAGAUAUCAAGCAAGAUGAUCUAAAGUUCUCUAUGUACAACACAGUUCCUUUGUCGUGAUUUGUGCUCUACUCUCUC